rnacentral:rRNA from 1 species
AGUAAAUAGAUACCCUGGUAGUCCACGCCGUAAACGAUGUCGACUUGGAGGUUGUGCCCUUGAGGCGUGGCUUCCGGAGCUAAACGCGUUAAGUCGACCGCCUGGGGAGUACGGCCGCAAGGUUAAAACUCAAAUGAAUUGACGGGGGCCCGCACAAGCGGUGGAGCAUGUGGUUUAAUUCGAUGCAACGCGAAGAACCUUACCUACUCUUGACAUCCAGAGAACUUAGCAGAGAUGCUUUGGUGCCUUCGGGAACUCUGAGACAGGUGCUGCAUGGCUGUCGUCAGCUCGUGUUGUGAAAUGUUGGGUUAAGUCCCGCAACGAGCGCAACCCUUAUCCUUUGUUGCCAGCGGUUAGGCCGGGAACUCAAAGGAGACUGCCAGUGAUAAAUUGGAGGAAGGUGGGGAUGACGUCAAGUCAUCAUGGCCCUUACGAGUAGGGCUACACACGUGCUACAAUGGCGCAUACAAAGAGAAGCGACCUCGCGAGAGCAAGCGGACCUCAUAAAGUGCGUCGUAGUCCGG